rnacentral:lncRNA from 1 species
UGAGGAAUCGACAUUCUAAUGAACGAAGAAUCAUUGGAAUUUCCCAUCUUUUUCAGCUCUGCUCCCGAAAAGAGAAAGGAGACUGAUCUUGAUGUCGGCGUUGGUUUUUCCAACGAAACAUUCUUUCACGAACUUUCAUGACAAAACUAAAUGCUAGUUGCCUCGUAACGCAUACACUGGAGCGUUUGUCCCAUCGACGAAGGCCACUAUACGCGUUUUCUGAAG